GUAACCAUGCAAAAAGUCCACACAUUUACCAUAUUUUUACCAUAGUAACUGUUUCUCUACCAUGUCAUGUGUAGCCAAUUUACCAUGCUUCUCCCACUGUGACAGUAGUUUUACUGUGGUAUUUGUAGGUAUGGUAACCACAACACUUUUCGUGAUUUUACCAUAGUAACUGUGUUUACUGUCUACUCUUUGCAUUUAAAGAACAGUAACACAGUUUCUACCAUGUUUUUACUGCAUAUUUGUAGUCAAAGCACAGUAACACAACACUUAAAAUGGUUUUACCACAGUAGCCGUAGUUUUACUGUGGUAUUUGUAGUUAAAGCAGUAAUUGUACUGAAGUAAUUGUAAUUCAAUAUUUUUUUCUGUCUUGCAGUUACGUCAGAUCAUAUACUCCAGCAGCUCUUUUAAGAAGUCAUCUCUUGUAAAAGCCAUCACUUGUUCCUAUUUUUCUGAACUGUAAUCCAUAAUUCAUUUACACAUAGUUUUUGCUCUCUCUGUCUUUCUGUGCUUCGUGACAUUUUUAAAUCUCCUAAUCUCAUAUUUUUUACCUAUUCUUUCAGAAAACUGCUAGAAUUAACAGGGAACUCAAUGCUGAUCUUGAAGAAGCUGCCAAGGAGGCUGAACAAGUCCUUUAAUGAUUCAACUCUUCACAGUAAUGUUGAACACAUUUAGCUAUAACUGAUUUGCUUUAAUAAACGCAUCCUUAUUUUAUGUGUUAAUAAUAACUUUCCUUACAGUCCUUCCUCUCAAAUAUUUUGGUCACAGAUUAUAUUUUGCACAUUGUCUCAACAUGUAUAUAUUUCUCUGUUUCGGGUGAGAGGGAAGACCAAAGGAAGGCCUGUCCUGGGAUUUGAUUUUGGCCGUAUUGUGCGUUUAUGGAGAAGACCCAGAGCUGCAAAGGCAAAUGCUGAAGACCAAAAAUGCAAAGAAAAUCAGUCACAGCAAGUCAACAGGCAAACCAGUCCUGAUGAAUGAGGAAUGAACAUGGUCGUCUUCUGCCCAAACAGAAAAGAGAAAGCUGGAAAGUUGCACAUUUCCAUUGAUCCUAGAAUGAGCAAAUCAGCUGUGCAUCAUCUCUGGGAUUUAGGCAGGAAAUGACUGAAUAUGGAGGAUGAAGCCAGUUGUUGAAGAUAUCAAUUCAAUGGCCACCAAGUGAAGCACUGCUGCCUGAACCCAUCAGAUAUCUGCUGUAAAGACUGCAUUCACGAACAGCUCUACUGUGACAGUGCAGAAGUUACAGCCCAUAAAAGAAACAAGAUAGUGGUGAAGGGAUUCUUUUAGCCCAUACCUCCAACAAGAAUCAAUGGACAUCAAGACCAGGUGGUGUGUGAGAAAAGCAUGGAGGACAGUCAGAGACUCCAGCCACCCGAGCCAUGGAUUGCUCUCACCGUCACCAUCAGGCAGAUGUUAUCGCAGAACCUUCACCAGCAGACUGCGAGACAAGUUCUUUCCACAGACAAUCAGACUGAACUGAACUCGUACCAGUAACACCACAAACAGCACACAACCUCAUAUGCACUGCACUCCAUCAGUUACACUGACUGGACUCUGACUCACUAUUAUUCUGCAUCCUGACAAUCUGUUUGCACUAAUUCAUACCGUACUGCACUGCAAAGGUAUAUGUGUACUGUGAUUAUUGUUUUCAUUUCAUGCUGUCUGUAUAGUAUAAUAUUUACCAUAUGGUGUUCUCUAUCUGUAUUGAGUCCCUUAUAUGUGUGUGUUGCAUAUAUAUUCAAUAUUUGUCAUCCAUAAUGUCAUGCUGCAGUUUGCACAAAAGACUUUCACCACCUGUACACUUGCAUUCAUGGUAUUGUGACAAUAAAGUGAUUUGAUUUGAA